AACGAACGCUGGCGGCAUGCCUAACACAUGCAAGUCGAACGAGACCUUCGGGUCUAGUGGCGCACGGGUGCGUAACGCGUGGGAACCUGCCCUUAGGUUCGGAAUAACUCCCCGAAAGGGGUGCUAAUACCGGAUAAUGUCUUCGGCCCAAAGAUUUAUCGCCUUUGGAUGGGCCCGCGUUGGAUUAGCUAGUUGGUAGGGUAAAAGCCUACCAAGGCGACGAUCCAUAGCUGGUCAGAGAGGAUGAUCAGCCACACUGGGACUGAGACACGGCCCAGACUCCUACGGGAGGCAGCAGUGGGGAAUAUUGGACAAUGGGCGAAAGCCUGAUCCAGCAAUGCCGCGUGAGUGAUGAAGGCCUUAGGGUUGUAAAGCUCUUUUACCCGGGAUGAUAAUGACAGUACCGGGAGAAUAAGCUCCGGCUAACUCCGUG
rnacentral:rRNA from 1 species